GACGAACGCUGGCGGCGUGCUUAACACAUGCAAGUCGAACGAUGACACAGUAGCUUGCUCCUCUGGAUUAGUGGCGAACGGGUGAGUAACACGUGAGCAAUCUGCCCUUGACUUCGGUAUAGCUUCGGGAAACUGUAGCUAAUACCGGAUAUGCUCCGACCAGGCAUUUGUAUCGGUGGGAAAUCAUUUCUGUCAGGGAUGAGCUCGCGGCUUAUCAGCUUGUUGGUGAGGUAACGGCUCACCAAGGCGACGACGGGUAGCCGGCCUGAGAGGGUGACCGGCCACAUUGGGACUGAGAAACGGCCCAGACGCCUACGGGAGGCAGCAGUGGGGAAUAUUGCACAAUGGGCGCAAGCAUGAUGCAGCAACGCCGCGUGAGGGAAGACGGCCUGCGGGUUGUAAACAUCUUUUAGCAGGGAAGAAGCGAAAGUGACGGUACCUGCAGAAAAAGCGCCGGCUAACUACGUG
rnacentral:rRNA from 1 species